AAACUCGAAUGAACGAACGGAGAGAUUCAUCGUCAUUCCGUGGCGUACCCGUUCGCGCCUUGAUGUUUGCGCUUGCGUGUCUUACGGCGCGUACGUGCGGGCACAGCUCGUGCGGGUCGACGUUCGCGGACGGCGUGCACUUCUCUCUUAGUACACACUCCGCAAGGGGUGGAUACAUCGCGACCCGUUCUCUUUUGUCGGUCUAAGCGUCGUUCGGGAGCCUAGCGGCCGCGUCUAAACAACGCCGGCUGUUAGACCGUGACGUACGCCGGCCGGCGGAGGACGGUAUAUUCAUAUAUGGGAACCGCGCACGCGUUUCGACGCGUCAGGCCCGACGCAAGUGUUUGUGUCAUCGCCGACGUCCUGCCUAUGUGCGGACGACGACGUGGCGCCGCUGUUGUCGCAGCCGUGUAGUCUCUGACUGUGCGCGUAUCCGUCAGCGAUGUUUCAGUUUCGGGCACUCGCAGGAC
rnacentral:rRNA from 1 species